UACAGAGGUGGCAAGCGUUGUUCGGAAUUACUGGGCGUAAAGGGCGCGUAGGCGGUUCGUUAAGUCCUGUGUGAAAUCCCCCGGCUCAACUGGGGAACUGCACAGGAAACUAGCGGGCUUGAGUUCGGGAGAGGCAAGCGGAAUUCCGGGUGUAGCGGUGGAAUGCGUAGAGAUCCGGAAGAACACCGGAGGCGAAGGCGGCUUGCUGGACCUGGUCUGACGCUGAGGCGCGAAAGCGUGGGGAGCGAACAGG
rnacentral:rRNA from 1 species